rnacentral:tRNA from 1 species
GGAGAGAUGGCAGAGUGGUUGAAUGCGGCGGUCUCGAAAACCGUUGUUCUACUAUCGUGGAACCGGGGGUUCGAAUCCCCCUCUCUCCGCCA